rnacentral:rRNA from 1 species
UUAAACUGAAGAGUUUGAUCAUGGCUCAGAUUGAACGUUGGCGGCACGCUUUAGACAUGCAAGUCGAACGAGAAAGCACUUCGGUGUGAGUACAGUGGCGGACGGGUGAGUAACGCGUAGGAAUCUACCUAGUAGUGGGGGACAACUCGGGGAAACUCGAGAUAAUACCGCAUAUUUCCUAC